UGGGGAAUUUUGGACAAUGGGCGCAAGCCUGAUCCAGCCAUGCCGCGUGCGGGAAGAAGGCCUUCGGGUUGUAAACCGCUUUUAGCCGGAAAGAAAAGGGCGAGGCCAAUACCCUCGUCUGUUGACGGUACCGGCGGAAUAAGCACCGGCUAACUACGUGCCAGCAGCCGCGGUAAUACGUAGGGUGCGAGCGUUAAUCGGAAUUACUGGGCGUAAAGCGUGCGUAGGCGGUACGCCGUGUCCUGUGUGAAAGCCCCGGGCUCAACCUGGGAAUGGCAUGGGAAACUGGCGCACUGGAGUGUGGCAGAGGGGGGUGGAAUUCCGCGUGUAGCAGUGAAAUGCGUAGAGAUGCGGAGGAACACCGAUGGGCGAAGGCAGCCCCCUGGGCCAACACUGACGCUGAGGGCACGAAAGCGUGGGGAGCAAACAGGAUUAGAUACCCUGGUAGUCCACGCCCUAAACGAUGUCGACUGGGGUGUCGGGGGAGAGAUCCCUUGGUACCGUAGCUAACG
rnacentral:rRNA from 1 species